ensembl:lncRNA
GAAGACAGAACUAGAAUGUCUUAAUGAAACACAAUAGAACACCCAAUAUGUUAAUGGCCCAGAAUCAUUCCUAGUCAGGACACAACACAUGAUCAGAUUCCUGUCCAUAGUGGCGGUAGGUGUUCCCCUGGUGGACAGGGUACCUGGCCUAUCUACACAGGAAGACUAAACAGAACAUAAGGCCUUCUGGUAACAUGAGGGGAACGUCGGUGGUACUCCGGCCAGAGCUACAUGUGAUGGGGGACAGAAACCAAAAAAAGAUUAAGAACCAAUUCAUGCCUCUACUUAUAGGAGACAUUUCACAUAGCACCCAUUCCCUUUACAGUGCACUACUUUUGACUAUAUAGGGAACAGGGUGCACUAUAUAGGGAAUACUACAUAGGGAAUAGGGUGUUCUAUAUAGGGAUUAGGGUGUACUAUAUAGGGAAUAGGGUGCCAUUUGGGAUGCAAACUACAAAAACAUUUAUUUUACCUAACUAGGCAAGUCAGUUAAGAACAAAUUCUUAUUUUCAAUGACGGCCUAGGAACAGUGGGUUAACUGCCUGUUCAGGGGCAGAAGUACAGAUUUGUACCUUGUCAGCUCGGGGGUUUGAACUUGCAACCCUGCGGUUGCUAGUCCAACGCUCUAACCACUCGGCUAUCCUGCCGCCCCACAAUGCACUUGGGCUUUGGUCAAAUGUAGUGCACCAAAUAGGGGAAUAGUAUAAGGGAAUAAGGGAAUAGGGAAUAAGGGAAUAGUGUGAGGGAACAAGGGAAUAAGAAAUAAGGGAAUAGGGAAUAAGGGAAUAGUGUGAGGGAAUAAGGGAAUAGUGUGAGGGAAUAAAGGAAUAUUGUGAGGGAAUAAGGGAAUAGUGUGAGGGAAUAAGGGAAUAGUGUGAGGGAAUAAGGGAAUAGUUUGAGGGAAUAAAGGAAUAUUGUGAGGGAAUAAGGGAAUAGUGUGAGGGAAUAAGGGAAUAGGGAAUAAGGGAAUAGGGAAUAAGGGAAUAGGGAAUAAGGGAAUAGUAUGAGGGAAUAAGGGAAUAGGGUAUAAGGGAAUAGUGUGAGGGAAUAAGGGAAUAGUGUGAGGGAAUAAGGGAAUAGGGAAUAAGGGAAUAGUGUGAGGGAAUAAGGAAUAAGGGAAUAGGGAAUAGGGAAUAAGGGAAUAGGGAAUAAGGGAAUAGUAUGAGGGAAUAAGGAAAUAGGGAAUAAGGGAAUAGUGAAUAAGGGAAUAGUGUGAGGGAAUAAGGGAAUAAGGAAUAAGGGAAUAGUGUGAGGGAAUAAGGGAAUAGUGUGAGGGAAUAAGGGAAUAGUG